UGAAUGAUAGUCACAAGUGUGAAUUUUUGAUGCGGAAGAUUAUUCUGGAAAUAUUAGUAUAGUAGGUGCUCCUUUAAUUCAUAUUAAUUUAUUAAUUUAGCAAGGCCACUAGUAUACAUUCUAUAGUUACCUUAUCUCACUAAGUUUCAAGACAAGAAUAUCUUAGGUUUGUUUAAUUUCAUGUGAAAAGCUAAAUUCAUUAUUCAGGUUGUGAUGAACUGAAACUUUCUUGUUUAAAGCUCUUGUUAAGCAUUGAAUUUUUUUGUGAACCUGCCUUCAUCAUGCUGGUUAAGGAAGUUAUGUUAUGGAACUAAGCUUUGUAGGACUAUGUGUGACAAGAUACCUUUGAAAGAUCUGCUUCACUACAUGGAACCGAGAGUUCAUUAAUGUUAGAGAUUUUGGGAAAUUAAUUUCUCAGUAAUGUGUCUUAAGUUACAAAACAUGAAGUGUCUUACUUGUGGAACAUUGGUAGACUAUGAUAAAGAAAACAAUUAUAAUCUUUUUUUGGUUUUAAUAAUAAUUCCAAAUCAUUUUUAAUUAAAAAUCAUUUUUAUUAAUAAUGAAUAAUAAUUAAGUAUUAAUUAAGCAUAACAGGAAGUACGUCAUAAUGAGGCUUGAUGAAUAUCGUUAUCGUUGUCGGAUCAGGUCUGGCACCAGCAUAAAUCGUGGCUGAUUCGUCAAUAUCGGAUCAGGACAUUGCCCCAAAUCCUCGGUCCAGGCUCGAUCAUCAGUAAUGAUUCAGGCCUGUAUCAGGACUGGUCCAUGUUCCAACUCUUGGGCGUGUAACAGUGCUGUUUGCACUGGUGUAUCAUGAUUUUAUGAAGAUGGCUGCCAGUCACAUGGAGGGAACCGGAAUUGCUUUUCUUGAGUUUUCUAAGGCUUACGAAGGCUGUUAUAAAGUUG